AGUGAACGCUGGCGGUAGGCCUAACACAUGCAAGUCGAACGGCAGCACAGUAAGAGUUUGCUCUUACGGGUGGCGAGUGGCGGACGGGUGAGGCAUACAUCGGAAUCUACUUUUUCGUGGGGGAUAACGUAGGGAAACUUACGCUAAUACCGCAUACGAUCUACGGGUGAAUGCAGGGGAUCUUCGGACCUUGCGUGAUUGAAUGAGCUGAUGUCGGAUUAGCUAGUUGGCGGGGUAAAGGCCCACCAAGGCGACGAUCCGUAGCUGGUCUGAGAGGAUGAUCAGCCACACUGGAACUGAGACACGGUCCAGACUCCUACGGGAGGCAGCAGUGGGGAAUAUUCGACAAUGGGCGCAAGCCUGAUCCAGCCAUACCGCGUGGGUGAAGAAGGCCUUCGGGUUGUAAAGCCCUUUUGUUGGGAAAGAAAAGCAGCAGGUUAAUACCCCGCUGUUCUGACGGUACCCAAAGAAUAAGCACCGGCUAACUUCGUG
rnacentral:rRNA from 1 species